AUGCAGAUUGUGGUCUGCAUCGACGACAUCUGGAAGAUGGAGCAUGUGCUGGGCUCGUGGUUCGUGGAUGGCAGAUAUAGUUUCCUCCUUCGGCGUUUUAGUCGUGGUGGGGUGCCAGAUCUGGAGUUCGACGACGUGUCCGGGGUGUUGCCCCGGUCUGAUUCGUUCAAUGGUAAGGGCUUCACUUUUGCUUUGCUCCCGCAACUUGGGCACACAAUCCGCCGUCUUCAUCGCUUGGACGUCGAUCGGCACUAUCCGCUCCCACCGCGGGCGACCUCAUGCGACGUCACGAAGCACGCGCACCUGCUCGAGCUGCUUUACCACCUGGUCGUGCCAGCGGUGCCCAUGCUCACUGACACGGAGAAUGCACACACCACCCUGCUGUUUUUCGGAGAAAUCGAAGUGCAUAUCUCUGUCCCUGAGGAGCAGCAACCGGGCGGCGGCAGCCAAGGCCAGGAGGAGAAGCCUUGCACUGGCACCGGCAGCGAGCACGUGAUGAUGCAACUGUUCGAGUUCAUCGCGUUGAAGCUCAAGGGUGGUCGCCUUGGCAAGGAGAUCACGAUCCCACCGGUGUUCGAGCUGGUUAGCUCCGGCGUUAAGUUUGCGCCCACCAACGGCAACAUGUCUAGUGCGUCAACUAUCGCAUUCAACCGCAAGACAGCGACACUCUACCUCGCCGCGGUGACCCUCGACGGCAACACAGAGGUGGUGCUCCAGAACCUGAUCGCCUUCGAGUCAUCCGCCGCGUCAGGCCCGCUGGUGCUCACCCGGUACACGGAGCUCAUGAACGGCAUCAUUGACACAGACGACGACGUUGCACUGCUCCGCAAGCGGGGCAUCGUGCUCAACCACAUGAAGAAAAGGGACAGCGAGGGGGCCAACCUGUGCAACGGCAUGAGCCGGUCGGUGUAG
rnacentral:rRNA from 1 species